rnacentral:rRNA from 1 species
UACGUAGGUGACAAGCGUUGUCCGGAUUUACUGGGCGUAAAGAGCUCGUAGGCGGUCUGUCACGUCGGAUGUGAAAGCCCGGGGCUUAACCCCGGGUCUGCAUUCGAUACGGGCAGACUAGAGUGUGGUAGGGGAGAUCGGAAUUCCUGGUGUAGCGGUGAAAUGCGCAGAUAUCAGGAGGAACACCGGUGGCGAAGGCGGGAUCCUGGGCCAGUACUGACGCUGAGGAGCGAAAGCGUGGGGAGCAAACAGG